rnacentral:RNase_P_RNA from 1 species
CCAGUUGGCCGGGCAGCCGCGCCCCGCAAGUGCCGAAAGGCCGCGGGGCGAGGAAAGUCCGGGCUCCACGGAAACACGGUGCCGGAUAACGUCCGGCGGGGGCAACCCCAGGGAAAGUGNCCACGGAAACACGGUGCCGGAUAACGUCCGGCGGGGGCGACCCCAGGGAAAGUGCCACAGAAAGCAGACCGCUCCGCUUGCGGAGUAAGGGUGAAAGGGUGGGGUAAGAGCCCACCGCGGACAUGGCGACAUGGACGGCACGGCAAACCCCACCGGGAGCAAGACCGAAUAGGGACGACACGGGCGCGCAAGCGUCCAGCCGGUUUCCAGGCGCGUCGUCCGGGUGGGUUGCACGAGGCUGCGCGCAAGCGCAGUCCCAGANAGGCCAACUGGCUUUUUUUCUUUGCUGCUGCGCUUCCGCCAGCGCCCUCCGGGAUUUUGCUGAUCUCAUCGAGUGGCGGUGCACCUCGCAUCGUUGCGCACCGAAUCAGUUCUACCCGGCUUGCCGGCACG